GAUGAACGCUGGCGGUAUGCUUUACACAUGCAAGUCAUACGGGAGUUAGUUUCGGCUAACUCCAGUGGCGGACGGGUGAGUAACACGUGAGAACUCGCCUUUAGGAGGGGGAUAACAGGGGGAAACACCUGCUAAAACCCCAUAUGCCUUCGGGUCAAAAGAGUAAUCUGCCUAAAGAGAAGCUCGCGGCUGAUUAGCUAGUUGGUGGGGUAAAAGCCUACCAAGGCGACGAUCAGUAGCUGGUCUGAGAGGAUGAUCAGCCACACUGGAACUGAGACACGGUCCAGACUCCUACGGGAGGCAGCAGUGAGGAAUUUUCUGCAAUGGGCGAAAGCCUGACAGAGCAAUACCGCGUGAGGGAAGAAGGCUUACUGAGUUGUAAACCUCUGUUACCUAAGGAGGAAGAUCUGACGUUACUUAGGAGACGAAGCAUCGGCUAACUCCGUGCCAGCAGCCGCGGUAA
rnacentral:rRNA from 1 species